UCUUCUUCAAGGUCUCCAUGAAGAAAGACUGUCUUCACAUCUAAUUGCUUCAGAAAUAGACCUUCGGUUAACACAACUGGAAUACUGGAGCUGGCUGUACGCUAUCAACAUAUCUUUCCGGCUAUGUUCAGGGCUUUGAUUGAUUGAAAGCUAAAUCUCUCAACCAUUAAGUUCAGGUGGUUUGCAUGACACUGAUUCAUUAAGAAAGUAUAUUCAUGCUGCAUUGUACUUUAAUUAAUGAUAUGUUAUAUUCAACUUAAAAAUGCUUCAAUAAUUUUAUUAUUCA